rnacentral:rRNA from 1 species
UUAUUUAGCCAUAUCACCCUGUAGCCCAAGACUGGUUGCCCACUGAAGCUAAUCAGGGUUGAGCAUGGUUAGUACCUGGAUGGGAGACCUCCUGGGGAAACUAGGUUGCUGCUGGAAGAG